AGUGAACGCUGGCGGCAGGCCUAAUACAUGCAAGUCGAACGGCAGCACAGUGGAGCUUGCUCCAUGGGUGGCGAGUGGCGGACGGGUGAGGAAUACGUGGGAAUCUGCCCAGUCGUGGGGGAUAACGUAGGGAAACUUACGCUAAUACCGCAUGCGCCCUUCGGGGGAAAGCCGGGGACCUUCGGGCCUGGCGCGAUUGGAUGAGCCCACGUCGGAUUAGCUAGUUGGCGGGGUAACGGCCCACCAAGGCGACGAUCCGUAGCUGGUCUGAGAGGAUGAUCAGCCACACUGGAACUGAGACACGGUCCAGACUCCUACGGGAGGCAGCAGUAGGGAAUAUUGGACAAUGGGCGCAAGCCUGAUCCAGCCAUGCCGCGUGAGUGAAGAAGGCCCUCGGGUUGUAAAGCUCUUUUGUCCGGAAAGAAAAGCAUUCGGUUAAUACCCGGGUGUUCUGACGGUACCGGAAGAAUAAGCACCGGCUAACUUCGUGCCAGCAGCCGCGGUAAAGUA
rnacentral:rRNA from 1 species